CACUGAAUGUGACCGACUCCGGAGCUAUUUCUGCUGUCAAGAUUUGCUCCGAUGGAAUAUGGGUAUAAAUGUCCCUCCGACCUGAGACCGCCAUGGUGACUUGCAAGCAACUCACUGCACUUAGGCACUGGACUACCUGAAUUUCUAAUUCAGUGAUGGAAGGCUGCUGGGUGUAGUCAAGUACUUGACUUGUCGGUGCGUGUGUCAAGAUGAGAUUGACCACUCCAGUUUAGGAGCUGUGUACAGUCAUGUUUCAAUUUAGUAAAACUUU
rnacentral:lncRNA from 1 species